AUUGAACGCUGGCGGCAGGCCUAACACAUGCAAGUCGAGCGAGCGGCGGACGGGUGAGUAAUGUCUGGGAAACUGCCUGAUGGAGGGGGAUAACUAAUGGAAACGGUAGCUAAUACCGCAUACCAUCAGAUGGGCCCAGAUGGGAUUAGCUAGUAGGUGGGGUAACGGCUCACCUAGGCGACGAUCCCUAGCUGGUCUGAGAGGAUGACCAGCCACACUUGAACUGAGACACGGUCCAGCAUCCUACGGGUGGCAGCAGUGGGGAAUUUUGCUCAAUGGGCGCAAUCCUGAUGCAGCCAUGCCGCGUGUGUGAAGAAGGCCUUCGGGUUUUAAAGCACUUUCAGCGGGGAGGCGUUAACCGCAGAAGAAGCACCGGCUAACUCCUUGCCAGCAGCCGCGGUAAUUC
rnacentral:rRNA from 1 species